ACGCUCGACACCUACGGUAGGCAGCAGUGAGGAAUAUUGGUCAAUGGGCGCAGGCCUGAACCAGCCAAGUAGCGUGAAGGAUGACUGCCCUAUGGGUUGUAAACUUCUUUUAUAUGGGAAUAAAGUUUUCCACGUGUGGAAUUUUGUAUGUACCAUAUGAAUAAGGAUCGGCUAACUCCGUGCCUGCAGCCGCGGUAAUCUGAGCGGGCUGGCAAGGC
rnacentral:rRNA from 1 species